rnacentral:rRNA from 1 species
GAUGAACGCUGGCGGCGUGCCUAAUACAUGCAAGUCGAGCGAACGGACGAGAAGCUUGCUUCUCUGAUGUUAGCGGCGGACGGGUGAGUAACACGUGGAUAACCUACCUAUAAGACUGGGAUAACUUCGGGAAACCGUAUCUAAUACCGGAUAAUAUUUUGAACCGCAUGGUUCAAAAGUGAAAGACGGUCUUGCUGUCACUUAUAGAUGGAUCCGCGCUGCAUUAGCUAGUUGGUAAGGUAACGGCUUACCAAGGCAACGAUGCAUAGCCGACCUGAGAGGGUGAUCGGCCACACUGGAACUGAGACACGGUCCAGACUCCUACGGGAGGCAGCAGUAGGGAAUCUUCCGCAAUGGGCGAAAGCCUGACGGAGCAACGCCGCGUGAGUGAUGAAGGUCUUCGGAUCGUAAAACUCUGUUAUUAGGGAAGAACAUAUGUGUAAGUAACUGUGCACAUCUUGACGGUACCUAAUCAGAAAGCCACGGCUAACUACGUG